rnacentral:rRNA from 1 species
CGAGCGAAUGGAUUGAGAGCUUGCUCUCAUGAAGUUAGCGGCGGACGGGUGAGUAACACGUGGGUAACCUGCCCAUAAGACUGGGAUAACUCCGGGAAACCGGGGCUAAUACCGGAUAACAUUUUGAACUGCAUGGUUCGAAAUUGAAAGGCGGCUUCGGCUGUCACUUAUGGAUGGACCCGCGUCGCAUUAGCUAGUUGGUGAGGUAACGGCUCACCAAGGCAACGAUGCGUAGCCGACCUGAGAGGGUGAUCGGCCACACUGGGACUGAGACACGGCCCAGACUCCUACGGGAGGCAGCAGUAGGGAAUCUUCCGCAAUGGACGAAAGUCUGACGGAGCAACGCCGCGUGAGUGAUGAAGGCUUUCGGGUCGUAAAACUCUGUUGUUAGGGAAGAACAAGUGCUAGUUGAAUAAGCUGGCACCUUGACGGUACCUAACCAGAAAGCCACGGCUAACUACGUGCCAGCAGCCGCGGUAAUACGUAGGUGGCAAGCGUUAUCCGGAAUUAUUGGGCGUAAAGCGCGCGCAGGUGGUUUCUUAAGUCUGAUGUGAAAGCCCACGGCUCAACCGUGGAGGGUCAUUGGAAACUGGGAGACUUGAGUGCA